rnacentral:lncRNA from 1 species
ACCGGAUGGCCACCGAGAGGAAGUACCGGGUUGGUAUGCAUUUGAAUCCGGGAAUUGCUGUGCCUUGACUCGGUCAAGUAACCGGUAUCAUGGUCGAGCAAUGGUGAGUCUUCGAGUCUCGGAGCUUGUGCAUCUAGGCAAAUUGAGAGAAGGUACCGGCCGGGACGUCCGCAGCUCAGCCUGGGUCGAAGACGAUGGUUAUCAUCGGGAACACUAGAUCCCGUGGAAGUGGUACCGGGUACCGGAGACUCAAAAUUGGACUGUAGAGGUGGGAAAUGAUUGUUCCCGGAUUGAGGAGGUUGACAUGGCAGGGGUACCGGUGAUGGUCUGGAUGGUAUGGGUGAGUCACCGGAAGAAGGAACUUCGGGGUCCAGGUUGUGAUGAGUUUCUGGAGGAGAGCGAUACGGGAGUUGAUAACUCAGCCUAGGAAGCAUGGCUGCCUAGAUUACUUCUGAAGUGCGGUACCGAUGAAGUUAAAAUGGGUGAUGCCGAGAAGAUUAUGAACCCAAAAGGGUCCAGGUAGACAUCAAAGUCCCGGAUGGACUAGCUGCCCCGGGAGUAGAAGUUAAUUGCCGGGAACGGCAGGUGAGGCUAUCGGAAUGGGUCGCCGGUAGUUUGUUCUCGGGUGGGUCACCGGGAUGCUGGGCGCUACCAGAUUGACCACUGGAAGUAAGGCCGUGGAACCAGGAAAGUGAUUCCGGGCGAACUAAGUAGUUUUCUUCCUCCAUUUUGGAUCCCGGUGAGGACAACAAGAUGAGGACAUGUAUCAUGUACCGGGAACCUUCGUCAGUUGGGACUCUUAAGGUGAUGAGGUUGUUGGCGAGUCAUCGAGACAGAUGUUGGGUCUCAGAGUUAAUGUUGCCGGAAGCUCACCGUGACUUGCUGGCGAGAACUACAAGAGAUCAGGUACCGGAACGACUCAGCGAGGCGCAGGGAGUAAAGCCAGGAGAGUGCUGAGAUUGAGUCAACGGGGUGUCAGAGGAUCACAGAAGUUGAUGAUGGUUCCGGGUUCUCGGGUGUCGUUAUCGAGACAUGAAGCUUCUAGGGAGUGCAUGGGUGCCUGCUACUCUGGUCCCCAGAUCAAGUUUCAAAGUACCGGGCGGGUUCAAGGAAGGUUCAAGUCUCCGAGAUGAGGUGGUGUGCAAGACUUGCUAGCCAGGUAUGUAUAGGUGCAAGUGGACCUUGAUUCCUAGAUGGGUGGUGUUGUGUUGCACGGCAGAGGGAUGGAUAGAGGUAUCAGGAGGUGUGCAUACCCGCUGACUCGCGAGAGUCCCGGAGAAGAGUGGAACUUGGGGGUGGGAUGUGUACGUACCCACUGACAAUUGUAGUACCCGGAGGAUCAUGUACCCGCUGGCUCGUGGUACUCGGAGGCUCGUGUAUCCGGAUGGCUCUUGCUCAAGGUCAGAGGUUCAUACCCAAACUUAGGGCCCCUCCUUCUAGCGCCAAUGUUUCUGUGUGAGAAUACGUUCUGUGUGAGAAUACGGAACGGGAACUAAGUGUGGAUCAUGAUGGGGAGAGAGAGAGAGAGAGAGAGAGAGAGACAAGCAUGUAUAGUGGUUCACCUUGCCCUUGAGGCAAGGCUACGUCCACUUAGAUAUUUCUACUAUGAGUGAGGCCAAGUAGCCUUUGUUGUGAUACAAGUGUGGGGAUCAUGAAUCCAUCCCUUCUAAGAAGGGGAGGACUUCCUCUUAUAGCUAAAGGAAGUCCCCAUCUAGUUUACAUUUCUGAUGUGGGACAUAAUACACAUAUUGCUUCUCUUGAAGCCUUUUGGAGAGCGUGGGAGGGUGGCCUCCCUAUGAGGUACGGGCCGACCUCCACCAUAGCGAGGUAGCUCGGGUGUCGGACUACCGGAUGCAUGUCGUAGGCGGGACUAGCCAUGUCGCGGGGCCCACCUAAGAGGUCG